rnacentral:lncRNA from 1 species
GCCAAUUAAGGUCUGUUGUGAUUGAGAUCUUGUAUCAUAUUUUUUUUGUCAUAAAGCACAGGCUGGCUGAAUUUAUUGACUUCAUACAGGGUGCAUACAUUAAGAAUGGUAGUAAAGAUAAUUAUGCUCAUGGUGGUGGUAGUGAUGGUGGUUGUGGUCUUUGUGGUGGAAAGAUAAAGCAAGUUGCAUAAGGGAAACACAUUGAUAGUGACAUUGUUAUUGAUCUUGAUCUUAGUGGAAAGAUAAAGCUACGGAUGCAAGGCGUAAAGUACUGGAUAAAGGAUACAGUUUUGAUAUCCUAUGUGAAUUUCUACCUGAUGGGAUGCCCCUUGAGAAAUGGAAACGAAUGUGGCUGACAAACAAGCGGGUAAAACAGUUGGAUACAAGAAAGUAUUCUUACAGACCCACGCCACUAAGAAGUGCAAAAAGUGUUACAAGAUCAGGAGAUGAACGAAAAUGAUUUUGAUUCAUUAGAGUUUGUUACCAACCAUUCAAAAUGUUCAUAUGCAGCGUACACGUUACAAGUAAAAAAGUUGUAUGGGGACAAGGAUCGAUGAUUUAGCCGUGUAGUAGAGUCUGCUUCUUGAGUGUAAGGGUCGUAAGAUGUUCGACAUAGGAUCUUCUAGUCCUGUUUUUGUGGUGAU